rnacentral:misc_RNA from 1 species
AGAGAGAGAGAGAGAGAGAGUGAGGGGGAAAAGUCAAGGCUGAUUGGUUCCCAUGUGGGAUUGUUUAGCUGUCAUAGCUGUAAAAUUUGCUGUUAUAUGAAGUAUGGAGAUAGGAAUGAAGCAUUGCUAAUCAUGCUUUGCCUCUCCUUCUUCCUAACUUCUCCCCUCUCCCUCUACUUCUCUCUCUACCCUUCUAGUCAUGUGAUUGCAUCUCCUAUCCACCUAUGGGCAAAACGUAUCCCCACCCAAUUAUUUAGUGUAUGUUGUGUACUUCCUAAUUGUUAAUUUUCAAUCUCUUUCAUUCUUUGUUGUUGCCACUUGCCAUGUUACUUAAUUGUGUUUGCAGUUGGGGACUAUAGCCUUUCACAGGUGGUCCAAGUGGCUUAAUGCUUUUGGUAUUUUCGCAUUGUACACAAGAAUGAGAUCACAGAUCAUUAAUCGGGUGACAUUCUAUUUUCUAUAGCAAGUAUCAAAUUGAUUUCAGCAUGUACUUAAAAGGUCUGGUAUUUUGAACUUUUAGGAAGCUUGAAAUGCAAUGUGUAGAAUUUAACUCUUGGGGACUGAUGUGGCAGUGGUAUGCAUCCAAAUAUCAAUUUGUAGUGUGGUAGAAACAAAGGAAGAAAGAUCAGUGGUUGCAUAAUUUAAUAGUUGGAAGUCGG